rnacentral:lncRNA from 10 species
UUUAAUGCACUGCCCCAUUCUGCUGUACCAGAAUAUGGACACAUUCCAAGCUUUCUUGUCGAUGCUUGCACAUCUUUAGAAGAACAUAUUCAUACCGAAGGGCUUUUUCGGAAAUCAGGAUCUGUGAUUCGCCUAAAAGCACUAAAGAAUAAAGUGGAUCAUGGUGAAGGUUGCCUAUCUUCUGCACCUCCUUGUGAUAUUGCGGGACUUCUUAAGCAGUUUUUUAGGGAACUGCCAGAGCCCAUUCUCCCAGCUGAUUUGCAUGAAGCACUUUUGAAAGCUCAACAGUUAGGCACAGAGGAAAAGAAUAAAGCUAUACUGUUGCUCUCCUGUCUUCUGGCUGACCACACAGUUCAUGUAUUAAGAUACUUCUUUAACUUUCUCAGGAAUGUUUCUCUUAGAUCCAGUGAGAAUAAGAUGGAUAGCAGCAAUCUUGCAGUAAUAUUUGCACCAAAUCUUCUUCAGACAAGUGAAGGACAUGAAAAGAUGUCUUCUAACGCAGAAAAGAAGGAACUAUGAAGGCAACUGUUAGAAAGUUGGUAUAUUACUGACCUCACCCCCACCCUACAGUACCGGCCCCUCCUGCAAA